AGUGAGCGCUGGCGGUAGGCCUAACACAUGCAAGUCGAACGGCAGCACAGUAAGAGCUUGCUCUUACGGGUGGCGAGUGGCGGACGGGUGAGGAAUACAUCGGAAUCUACUUUUUCGUGGGGGAUAACGUAGGGAAACUUACGCUAAUACCGCAUACGACCUACGGGUGAAAGCAGGGGAUCUUCGGACCUUGCGCGAUUGAAUGAGCCGAUGUCGGAUUAGCUAGUUGGCGGGGUAAAGGCCCACCAAGGCGACGAUCCGUAGCUGGUCUGAGAGGAUGAUCAGCCACACUGGAACUGAGACACGGUCCAGACUCCUACGGGAGGCAGCAGUGGGGAAUAUUGGACAAUGGGCGCAAGCCUGAUCCAGCCAUACCGCGUGGGUGAAGAAGGCCUUCGGGUUGUAAAGCCCUUUUGUUGGGAAAGAAAAGCAGCAGGUUAAUACCCCGCCGUUCUGACGGUACCCAAAGAAUAAGCACCGGCUAACUUCGUG
rnacentral:rRNA from 1 species